rnacentral:rRNA from 1 species
CUACGGGAUGCAGCAGUGGGGAAUAUUGCACAAUGGGCGCAAGCCUGAUGCAGCCAUGCCGCGUGUAUGAAGAAGGCCUUCGGGUUGUAAAGUACUUUCAGCGGGGAGGAAGGGAGUAAAGUUAAUACCUUUGCUCAUUGACGUUACCCGCAGAAGAAGCACCGGCUAACUCCGUGCCAGCAGCCGCGGUAAUACGGAGGGUGCAAGCGUUAAUCGGAAUUACUGGGCGUAAAGCGCACGCAGGCGGUUUGUUAAGUCAGAUGUGAAAUCCCCGGGCGCAACCUGGGAACUGCAUCUGAUACAGGCAAGCUUGAGUCUCGUAGAGGGGGGUAGAAUUCCAGGUGUAGCGGUGAAAUGCGUAGAGAUCUGGAGGAAUACCGGUGGCGAAGGCGGCCCCCUGGACGAAGACUGACGCUCAGGUGCGAAAGCGUGGGGAGCAAACAGGAUUAGAUACCCGCGUAGUC